rnacentral:tRNA from 1 species
GUUUAAAUAGUUUAAUAAAAAAUAUUGAUUUGUGGUGUCAAUGAUACAAUAAUUUGUUUUAGACC